rnacentral:rRNA from 1 species
UACGUAGGGGGCUAGCGUUGUCCGGAAUCAUUGGGCGUAAAGCGCGUGUAGGCGGCCCGGUAAGUCCGCUGUAAAAGUCAGAGGCUCAACCUUUGAAUGUCAGUGGAUACUGCCGGGCUAGAGUCCGGAAGAGGCGAGUGGAACUCCUGGUGUAGCGGUGAAAUGCGCAGAUAUCAGGAAGAACACCCGUGGCGAAAGCGGCUCUCUGGAACGGUACUGACGCUGAGACGCGAAAGCGUGGGGAGCGAACAGG